rnacentral:rRNA from 1 species
GAUGAACGCUGGCGGCGUGCCUAAUACAUGCAAGUCGAGCGAACAGACGAGGAGCUUGCUCCUCUGACGUUAGCGGCGGACGGGUGAGUAACACGUGGAUAACCUACCUAUAAGACUGGGAUAACUUCGGGAAACCGGAGCUAAUACCGGAUAAUAUAUUGAACCGCAUGGUUCAAUAGUGAAAGACGGUUUUGCUGUCACUUAUAGAUGGAUCCGCGCCGCAUUAGCUAGUUGGUAAGGUAACGGCUUACCAAGGCAACGAUGCGUAGCCGACCUGAGAGGGUGAUCGGCCACACUGGAACUGGGACGCGGUCCAGACUCCUACGGGAGGCAGCAGUAGGGAAUCUUCGGCAAUAGGCGAAAGCUUGACGGAGCAACGCCGCGUGAGUGAUGAAGGUCUUCGGAUCGUAAAACUCUGUUAUUAGGGAAGAACAAAUGUGUAAGUAACUAUGCACGUCUUGACGGUACCGAAUCAGAAAGCCACGGCUAACUACGUG